ensembl:lncRNA
CGCUUUCCCUCAGCCGGAGUUCAGGAUGCCCCUCUCUGAUGUGAAGAUGACCCCUGGGGAUGAUGGGAUGAAGCCAAAAACACGUUUGCCUCCCUUUCUAAGACAAAGACUCUGCCGGUCCGUGAGAUUGCAGAUUGUGCAGAAAUAUUCAAGGGCAUUGCAACAUACAGGUUGAUCCCGGGGCUGCUGAGGCUACAUGAAUCAACAGCCCAUCCACUUCAGGUGUGUCUCCCUACCUCUUCUCGAGGGUGAACUUUGGCGUCGGCAGUGUGGCUGGUCUGCCGUGGCAGUUGCAGGGCCCAG